GGUUAAGCGACUAAGCGUACACGGUGGAUGCCCUGGCAGUCAGAGGCGAUGAAGGACGUGCUAAUCUGCGAAAAGCGUCGGUAAGGUGAUAUGAACCGUUAUAGCCGGCGAUGUCCGAAUGGGGAAACCCAGUGCAAUUCGUUGCACUAUCGUUAACUGAAUACAUAGGUUAACGAGGCGAACCGGGGGAACUGAAACAUCUAAGUACCCCGAGGAAAAGAAAUCAACCGAGAUUCCCCCAGUAGCGGCGAGCGAACGGGGAGCAGCCCAGAGUCUGAAUCAGCUUGUGUGUUAGUGGAACGGUCUGGAAAGUCCGACGGUACAGGGUGAUAGUCCCGUACACCAAAAUGCACAGGCUGUGAACUCGAAGAGUAGGGCGGGACACGUGGUAUCCUGUCUGAAUAUGGGGGGACCAUCCUCCAAGGCUAAAUACUCCUGACUGACCGAUAGUGAACCAGUACAGUGAGGGAAAGGCG
rnacentral:rRNA from 1 species